GAGCGUGACCCAUUGAAACAGAAGGAGAACCGCGCAGCAGAAAGUCGGCAGGCACUCCCCAAUGUCCCCAGCCCCAGGAGAGACCCACGGCACCCGUGGACACUGAAGGUUCUCGUUAGUCCUGCAGUAAAGGAACCCUGACAGUCAUUUAAGAACGUCUGAAAAGUGCAAAAACACUGUGACAAUACAGUGUAAAUAUCCUUGCUCCACCCUAGGCUGAGGGCGGCAUCAGCAGCAGAUCAUGGAGCCACCUCUCCCUGAGGCCUCGCCUUCACAUCUCCAGGCUGUCCUAGGAGUUUUGGGAAUCAGCAACUAACCGUCCUUACCCAGGCCUGCCAGCUGGAGGCUCCGGCGGAAGCCAGCCAUGUGGAGAGAAACAGGGUGAGUAGUUCCAAAUCUGCUUGGAUGGAAUGACAGCCCCGCCAUGAGGGAGACAGAGUCACCAUGGAUUGCCCAUUUCUGGCCUUGGAGGGAGCAGGGCUGUCGCUGUCCCAUGGCCGGGAAGUCAGGAAAUGGAGAGUACUCCUCGAGUUCGGGUGUGGAAAAUACCUCCAAAUGUUGGGCAGCUUUAUGUGAGUGGGCUCCAGCAGGUACUGGCCUGGCUAACCUUCCAUGUUUCACAUUCCAUUAGGGGAGCCCAGUCCCCCACCCAGAGGGAAGGAGGAUACUGAUUGGUAAGUUGCUUCUUUUGACUUUGUACUUGAGUUUCAAGAUGGCUUUAUACAUCCCCAUCCUUAAUUGUACUUUGUAUUCACUUCAUUACAGCUAAGUGUGUCAAAGUUACAGCCUGGAAAAUGGACAAUUCCAUGACUCCCACCUUACGUUAUUUUAGAUUUUCUCUUUUCCAAAAAUGUAGGUGAAGAACAAUUUGCCAGACAUCUUCCAACACAAAAUAUGCUGCCAGGUGUCCCCCGGCCCUCCCCCCAACCCCCAUAAAUCCCUGAUAAAGGAAAAUGAAAAUGUAAACUUUGGAAAGCCCGUAUUCAAGGUUCACUUCUGGAAGUAUGCAAAUGAGACCUCCGGGCCACCCAAGCCCUUCUUGCCAGAACCUCGUGGGCCUGCGCUUUGAGGGCAGAGCUUCCCCGGCGCCUCCAGCGGCACUGGCUGCAGGCGAGAACGGGCCCACCAGUACCCUCUAAGGCACUCACCCCGACAUCAGAGACACUGGCUGGAAAGGAGGCAGGGCUCACGUUGGUUUUGGUUGGGUUUUUUAAAAUAUUUUUUUGUAAGAUGUUUGUUAAUAAUCAAAAGUAGAAAAUAAAAAUCUACAUUUCAUUAGAAUAAGAUGUUAUCAUGGAUGCCAUCUCCCAUGAUACUCUUUCCCCACCCCUCCCCAAAGCAGGGCCCUGCCCUGUCAUAAACAAAAAGCUUUAAGUGCCAAAGGUUGAUGCAUGAAAUAAUUACUUUUUCAUAAAAGUUAUGUACAAAAAUGGACCCCAACCAGUGAGGCCUCAUCUCAACCCAUUAUCACUCAAGAUUAAAACUCAGUACAUAGGUGUUAGCUUAAUCCAGCGUCUGCAGGCUGCAUCGGUGCCUUCAGGCUCUGUUAAGGAGAGUGGUCCUAAAGGACCUUCACUUUCGAAGGAGGCGAUGAAGAGAGCUGAGGGACGAGAAGCCCCGCAGAAGCCAUGUCCACACCCGGGCAGUCUGCCUCCCACCCCAGUCACCCCUUCUCAAACUCCCCCUCCCAGGUGGAGCGAGGCCCGGGAACGAACUCCUAAACCAAGGGGGCAGUGACUUUGGGCCUGGUCUGGUCCACAGGCCUCUGCUGCGUGGGGUUCCUGGCAACCUGCCUGGGGACUCAGAUGUUUCCUGGUUCUGCAGUGCUGGCCCGACCACGUACUGGCUCUCUCAGGUGGCCUCGGGAGCCUGAUCUUUUCUUGUCCUUAUCCUUCACCUGCCAUCCACCCACGGCCCACCCUCAUGCACUCAGCCCUGCGAGCUGAGCUUCCCCAGCGUAGCAUGGGAAUAACAACCCUGGGAGGGCACCCUGCAUGAGUCAGGGUGACCUCUACAGUGUGCAGAGGUGGACCUCACCUU